AGGAAGGGUCUGAUCCUCCUGAUGCUGUACAGGAUGGAGCAACGGAGGCCACAUGGGACAUUUACCUAUAAAAACAGUUUUGAAAGCAACACGCCGAGGUCCUGUCCUACCAGGAAGACGAAGAGAGCCUGAAGCCUCGGUUUCCCAGAGACUAUGGGUUGAGGAGGAAGUGGAAGUUUGUCGGCUUAGACCUGGUGUCAUUCCAUCAGUGUUAAACUUCCCGGCUCAUCUUGGAAGAGUACGUGCCAGAAAGACCAUGACCAAGCAGCCUUGAGAUCUUAGCAGCGUCUACCUGAGGUCCCUCUCUAUCUCCCCACACAUCCACCAACCACUGGAACGCAUCUCCAAAGUUCUGCUGGACCAGCUCAGCUUCCCCUCAGAAGAAGUGCCACCACCUGCCAGAUGAAGGAGCCUUUUGAGAGGCAGCUGGCAUCGUGAUUGGACUGUACUUUGGUCUGUUCCAAUCCAGCUUCAGCUCCAGAGACGGCAGGCGGGACGAGUCAACGGAGGCCGGGUGGACGAAGACAUGAAGCUGAGUACAAUCCAGAAAACAACAGAGAUGGAGUGUAGUGGCCCAGAGCCAGAAAAAACAGAGUAGCAUCAUAUGUCUCUUAGAAAACAUCAUAGUAUAGCCUUUGGUAUGAAAAAACGCCAUCAUAUACAUCGUAUAUUGUACAAAUAAGUCAAAGCAAAGAGACAUACAUUGUAGAAUUGUAGUAAUUGUGGGCUGACUGAUUUACGGAUUAUCAGUAUUUUAUUUUUUGCUGAUUUACGGUAAUAAAUACAUUUAAAAAUGGUGCUACUUUGGCUCUGAACCUUUAUCUACCUGUGGUCGCUCUGUCUUCUGGAGUGAUUUGAUUGGUUAUACGUCACGAAUAAAACUCCUUUAACUUAACAUCUGUAAACAAAACAUAGACGUAUCAACAAGUUUUCUGUUAGAGUUUGUGUUCUUCUAAGUUUAACUCGAAGAUUUUAAAUACUUUCAUUUACUGCAAAUGUCUCACUAAUAAUCAUUAUCAGCCUUAAAAACCCACAAAACACCCCUCUAUACUCCACCACACUUAGUACAGUCCGGUUCCCCCUUCUAUAAAUCUGCUUGGAAUCGUCCACUUCCUGUUUGUCAAAGUGGCCUUCUACCUGGACAGGUUUUGUUGGAGCUCAUGCAACAAACAUUUUGGGUAACUGCACUUUAAUAUGGAUGGAUGACACUGAAUUAGAGUCUGUUUUAAUGAGACUGAGUUAAGAUGUGUAGCUCUGUCAUUAAAUAGGAAAUUAUUUCUCAGAACUCACAGAGAAAAGUCUGAAAUGUUUGCUAGGUUAGCGUCCCACAUGUUCUUUGGCUCAGCUAAAGCUAACUCUCUCCAACUUCUGGAUCUCUGGAGCUGCUUGUUGUUAAAAUAUCUUGCUGUAGGUGCUGAAGCUCAGAAAGUCUGAGAUGUUUGUUCAAAAUUAGCUCA
ensembl:lncRNA